GUGGGGAAUUUUGGACAAUGGGCGCAAGCCUGAUCCAGCAAUGCCGCGUGCAGGAAGAAGGCCUUCGGGUUGUAAACUGCUUUUGUACGGAACGAAACGGUCCGGGUUAAUACCCUGGGCUAAUGACGGUACCGUAAGAAUAAGCACCGGCUAACUACGUGCCAGCAGCCGCGGUAAUACGUAGGGUGCAAGCGUUAAUCGGAAUUACUGGGCGUAAAGCGUGCGCAGGCGGUUUUGUAAGACAGGCGUGAAAUCCCCGGGCUCAACCUGGGAGUUGCGCUUGUGACUGCAAGGCUGGAGUGCGGCAGAGGGGGAUGGAAUUCCGCGUGUAGCAGUGAAAUGCGUAGAUAUGCGGAGGAACACCGAUGGCGAAGGCAAUCCCCUGGGCCUGCACUGACGCUCAUGCACGAAAGCGUGGGGAGCAAACAGGAUUAGAUACCCUAGUAGUCC
rnacentral:rRNA from 1 species